AACGAACGCUGGCGGCGUGCUUAACACAUGCAAGUCGAACGAGAACGGACUCUUCGGAGUCUUAGUAAAGUGGCGCACGGGUGAGUAACACGUGGGUAACCUGCCCUUCGAUUGGGAUAACUAUACGAAAGUGUAGCUAAUACCGAAUACGCCUGCUUGGUCAUAGGGCCGGGCAGUGAAAGCGGCGCAAGUCGCGUCGGAGGAUGGGCCCGCGGUCCAUUAGCUAGUUGGUAGGGUAAAGGCCUACCAAGGCUUCGAUGGAUAGCUGAUUUGAGAGAAUGAUCAGCCACACUGGAACUGAGACACGGUCCAG
rnacentral:rRNA from 1 species